rnacentral:snRNA from 1 species
UUACUUACCUUUAGGGAAGCUAUCAUGAUCACGAAGCUGGUCUCCCUAGGGUGAGGCUCACCCAUUGCACUCCUGCUGUGCUGACUCCUGCAGUUUCUCCAAAUGUGGGAAAUUCAACUGCAUAAUUUUUGGUAGUGGGGGACUGCACUCACAUUCUCCCU